GCUAUGAAGAGUAGUAUGCUUCUCACCAAUAAGGGUUCAACUGUUGAGUUUUUUUUACAGAAGUCGGUGAGAAUGGUAAGCCACGUUUCAAGAGGAUGUAUAUUUGCUAUGCUGGAUUAAAAGCAGGUUUCAAUGAGGGUUGUAGACCUUUAAUUGGGUUGGAUGGCUGCCACAUUAAAGGUGUACAUCCAGGACAACUUUUAACAACAGUUGGAAUAGAUGGGAGUAACCAAAUGUAUCCUAUAGCAUUUGCUAUUGUUGAGAUAGAAAAUAAGGAUUCAUGGAGCUGGUUUCUGGACCUAUUGAAGGUGGACUUCAAAAUUGAAAACUCAAACCAUUGGAGCUUUAUUACAGACAAGCAAAAAGGUUUAGAGCAAGCCUUGAAGGGUUUGUGGUAUGAGGGUGUACCUGAGGUCGAGCACAGGCAUUGUGCAAGGCAUCUAGAGAAGAAUUUCAACAAAGUUUUCAGGGACAAAACCUUGAAAGACCUUUUAUGGAAAGCUGCAAGAGAGGUAUCUAUUGGGAGAUUCGAAGCUGUGAUGUUGGAGAUCAAAUCAAUUGAUGAGGAAGCAUACAACUGGUUAUUGGCUGCAGGUCCACAUCACUGGAGUAGAUCACACUUUAGGACUCAACCUAAGUGUGAUAUACUUGUAAAUAACAUGUGUGAGGGAUUCAAUGGUACAAAGUCAAUAUUGGCAGCCAGAGAUAGACCAAUAUUGUCGAUAUUGGAGCGUAUUAGGAUGUACAUGAUGCAAAGGCUCACUAAAAGUAGGCAUUCAGUAAUAAUGUGGGAGUCUAACAUUGCACCAAGGGUCGCAACUGUUCUUGAAAAGAACAAGGUAGAAGCUGGAAGUCACAUUCCCACCAAAGGGAGUGAAUUUAUGUACCAGGUGAUGAACAUGUACGGGGGCAUGUCCUCUGUCGAUUUGGAAAAUUGGGUCUACUCUUGUAGAAGAUGGGAACUCACUAGUAUUCCAUGUAGCCAUGUUGUUGCUUCCAUUUGACAUAAAAGGGAGGAUCCAAUGACAUAUGUCUCCAAAUGGUAUACCAAGGAAUACUACAUGAAGGCAUACUCUCAGCAAAUUUUUCCAAUUAGGAAUCAAGAUGAGUGGCCUAGAAGUGGCAAGGUUGGAAUGAUUAAGCCAAUUGGGAAGACUCAACCUGGUAGGCCUAAGAAAAGCAGAAGAGUUGAACUUUAUGAGUUGCCUCCACCAACAGCCAAGAAAUUGAAACGAAGAUAUGUGAGAAUGAGAUGUUAUGGCUGUGGUGCAGUGGGCCACAACUUCAGAACUUGUGCUAGAAACAACUUCAAUUCGGGAAAAGACAACCCCCCAGCUGAUCCUGGUACUUAUGCUAGAAAUAGCAAUCAGCCAGAAAAUGCUUCAGUGAGUUCAGCAACAAAUCUGAGAGCUCUACAAGGAAUAAUGCCACCACCUCAGCAAGUUCCAUUCAACCCACCCCGGCAAGGUAGCAACACAGUUGCAACAAGGACCAAACAUAUUUAGUCAAGGCGGUAUCUGAUUUUUUGAUUGACAAGCAGUCUAUUGGAUAAGUUUGGAGCUGAAAGUCAAUUGCUAUGUCUGCUUUUGUCUCUGUUUUUUUAUUAGUCCCAUGCUCACUGAAUACCAUUUCAAUGUAUUUGAGCAAUGUUGUAAAUUUGUUUUAGGAUCACUAAUGUAUUUGAGCAAGGUUGUACAUCACCAAUGUACUUGAGCAAGGUUGUAAAUCACCAAUGUACUUGAGCAAGGUUGUAUAUCUGAUUUAGGAUCACGUUUUGUACACCUGAUACUAGUUUACUGA